UUUAAUGCAGUGAUUAAGUAAGUAAAAUAGAUGAUUCAUUUAAAGAGAGCUUCGGUAGGUGAAAAGAAGCAAUGAGGAUAUAUUUGAAAAUGGCUUAAGAGCAUUUUUUAUUCGAGUUAAUUAAUAUUAAUAAGAGUAAAACGGCAGCAUCCGUUACCUUGCUAGAGUAUGAUAGUACUUGAAGAGUAGUUAGAUGUGAGUCUAACUAAAAAUGAGGUGGUAACGCGUUUAAAACGUCCUCAAA
rnacentral:ncRNA from 1 species